CGUGUAGGCGGUUUUGUAAGUUAAAUGCUAAAUCCCUUAGCUUAACUAAGGUUCCGCAUUUAAUACUGCAAGACUUGAGUACAGUAGAGGAGAAUGGAAUUUCCAGUGUAGCGGUGAAAUGCGUAGAUAUUGGAAGGAACACCUGUGGCGAAGGCGAUUCUCUGGGCUGAUACUGACGCUGAGGCGCGAAAGCUAGGGUAGCAAACG
rnacentral:rRNA from 1 species